rnacentral:rRNA from 1 species
CGAGGGGGGCAAGUGUUGUUCGGAAUCACUGGGCGUAAAGGGAGCGUAGGCGGAUGCUUAAGUUGGAUGUUUAAAACCGGGGCCCAACCCCGGGGCGGCAUCCAAAAUUGGGCAUCUUGAAUGGAACAGAGGCUAGUGGAAUUGGGGGUGUAGCGGUGGAAUGCGUAGAGAUCCCCAAGAACACCAAUUGCGAAGGCAGCUAGCUGGGUUCACAUUGACGCUGAGGCUCGAAAGCAUGGGGAGCAAACAGGAUUAGAUACCCUGGUAGUCCAUGCCGUAAACGAUGAACACUAGGUUUCGGACUCGUCAACGGUUCGGAGCCGCAGCUAACGCGUUAAGUGUUCCGCCUGGGGAAUACGGUCGCAAGACUG